rnacentral:lncRNA from 1 species
ACUUCAUUACACUGGGAUCAUAAGGAUUCACAGACAAGGUUUUCGGGUCCAUGACAGAAACAACAGCUAGCCGACCGAGAGGCAUUUUCACACCUCCGGUUUCCACAAUGAUGUGGUCAAGCAUUCCGGCAGAGCCAUAUAAACAUUGUCUGGAUAACUCAAGCACUCUUGCACAAAGUAAAAAAAUCAGUAUACAAUAACAUCAAGGAAACAAAGAACUUCGCAUUACACACCUGGAGAUGCCCUCCCAGUUCUUAACUUGGUUAGUUCUCUUGAUAAUGCAUCUAUUGCUGCAUCCAUUUGAGAGGCAGCACUUGCCUUAACAGUAGGUCCAAUGUCUGCCCCAACUUCAGCUGUCCCUCCACCAGAAUCAUCCUCUGAAAUUUACAAACCCAGGAAAAUGAACUAAGUUUCGAUUUCACUGCACUUUGCAGACAGAGGCUCAUACUAAGACCUUCAGGAUCAACAUAAACCUUCCUCAACCAUUCAAAUCACAAAGUGCUGUAAUUGCUCUUCCUCUUUCACAGACGCAA